UUUCCGUAGGUGAACCUGCGGAAGGAUCGUUCAUAAUAAGUGUUUUAUGGCACUUUUUUAAAUCCAUAUCCACCUUGUGUGCAAUGUCAGGGUUGAUUUUUCUCUUGAGAGGAUCAGCCCCAAACAUCAACUAUAUCUCAACUCUUUGUCUGAAAAAUAUUAUGAAUAAAACAAUUCAAAAUACAACUUUCAACAACGGAUCUCUUGGCUCUC
rnacentral:misc_RNA from 1 species